rnacentral:rRNA from 1 species
GACUCCUACGGGAGGCAGCAGUGAGGAAUUUUCCGCAAUGGGCGAAAGCCUGACGGAGCAAUACCGCGUGAGGGAAGAAGGUCUGUGGAUCGUAAACCUCUUUUUUUAGGGAAGAAUAAAUGACGGUACCUAAAGAAUAAGCCCUGGCUAACCCUGUGCCAGCAGCCGCGGUAAU